rnacentral:tRNA from 1 species
GGGCCCUUAGCUCAGUGGUAAGAGCGCUCGGCUCAUACUGACAUCCGAGGAUCCUCAUCGCACACUGUCUCGGUGCGGUCCUCGGGUGACAUGAGACACCGAGUGGUCGUUGGUUCGAAUCCGACAGGGCCCA